CUCAGUGGUAAAAAGCCUCCAGAGUGUUACUGGGGUGGGGUCAAUUAUUGUCAUAUACCUCCAUGAAGUCCACAAAUUUUGCAGUAUUAUGUUUGC